GACUGCUGGCCCUAGAUUUUCUCACAGCCAAUCCUGUUGUCUGAGAAGGUGUUAAUUGGAGGUAAACACUUUUGAUGCAAAGAUAGAAGUCACACACUCAGAAUGCAACAAAUUACCUAAUUGACUCAGAGUCCACAAUCUAGGUCUGUGAAUUUAUGGCUCAAGUCUAGGUAUUAGAAUCUUCUUCUACACCCCUGAAAACCAUCCUUUGGAUCCCUUAGAAGAUACAUCAGGACAGGCUCACAUCUCUAAAUCAUGGACAAUCUGAUACCCUGGGGAAGUGUUGACUCUACUGAGGGAAGAAAGAUAUUAGACAAUGAAGUAGCUACUGCACUUAAGAAACACAUUUCAGCAGUUUCCAGGAGAAGACGUAUAGGACUUGAUCCCAGGCUACCUUGAAGGAAUAAUGUGCAGCUAAUCAAUGAACAAAGAAACACCAGGCUUCCAGGUUGAUAUAGUUUGGCUCUACGUCCCCAUCCAAAUCUUAUGUUGAAUUGUAAUUCUCAGCGUUGAAGGAGGGACCUGUUGGAAGGUGAUUGGAUCAUGCAAGUGGAUUUCCCCAUUACUGUUCUCAUUAGAGUGAGUGAGCUCUCACGAGAUCUGGUUGUUUAAAAGUGCAUAGCACCGCCCCCUUCACUUUCUCUCCUGCUUUGGCCAUGUG
rnacentral:lncRNA from 1 species